UACCUGUGGAGAGAAAAGGAGAGAGAGGGAAUAACACGAGGAGGAAUAGAGCGAACCCUGUACUUACAGUACGCUGUGUCCAGCCCAGAGGUGAAAGCCAUCCAAAGCAGAGUAACUGUGCUUUGCGUCCAAGUUGAUACCUGUGGAGAGGAAAGGAAAGAGAGAGUGAGUAACACAAGGAGAAACAGAGGAAACCUGUACUUACAGUACGCUGUGUCCAGCCCAGAGGUGAGAGCAAAACCAAGCCGAAUUAACUGUGCCUUUGUGUCCCAGCCGUUGCCUGUGGAGGAAGAGAAAGAGAGUGAGCACCCCGAGAACGAACUGUGUGAACCAGUACUUACUGUGAGCUGUAAUCAGCGAAGAGGUGAGAGCAAAACCAAGCCGAAUUAACUGUGCCUUUGUGUCCCAGCCGUUGCCUGUGGAGGAAGAGAAAGAGAGUGAGCACCCCGAGAACGAACUGUGUGAACCAGUACUUACCGUGAGCUGUAUUCAGCGAAGAGGAGGAAGAAGGAGGGCGCUACGGAUACCUAAGACUCAGGCCGGGGCCCGAGUCCCACGCCCCGGAUCCCCGUGGCCCCCUUGCUCCCUGACCUCUUCCCGGCCAUAGCCCAUCUGGAGGGCCGAGUCAGAGUUUAGUUUUAAUUGCCCUUUCCCUAUUCCCCAAGCUAUUUUUAAAUAUUUAAAUAAAGAUUGUUUUAUCACUUACUUGUUCUCGUGU
ensembl:lncRNA